rfam:Erinaceus europaeus unplaced genomic scaffold scaffold00518, whole genome shotgun sequence
UUGGGUUGAGUGCUGAAGGGGGGUCAGGCAGGGAGGUGGUGUGCACCAGCCAUUUGCAGCUCAGGUGGAGGAAGUUUGGAAUGCGUAACCUGGAGUUG